rnacentral:rRNA from 1 species
AAGUUUUAAGGCAUCUUGAAACUUUUAAAAGACCCGCAAGGGUAUGCUGAAGAGAUGGGCUUGCGGCACAUUAGUUAGUUGGUAAGGUAACGGCUUACCAAGACCAUGAUGUGUAGCUGGACUGAGAGGUUGAACGGCCACAUUGGGACUGAGAUACGGCCCAAACUCCUACGGGAGGCAGCAGUAAGGAAUUUUCGGCAAUGGAGGAAACUCUGACCGAGCAACGCCGCGUGAACGAUGAAGUAUUUAGGUAUGUAAAGUUCUUUUAUUAAAGAAGAAAAAAUGAUGGAAAAAUCAUUCUGACGGUAUUUAAUGAAUAAGCCCCGGCUAACUAUGUGCCAGCAGCUGCGGUAAUACAUGGGGGGCAAGCGUUAUCCGGAUUUAUUGGGCGUAAAGGGUGCGUAGGCGGUUUAAUAAGUCUAUGGUCUAAGUUCAACGCUUAACGUUGUGAUGCUAUAGAAACUGUUUGACUAGAGUUGGAUAGAGGCAAGUGGAAUUCCAUGUGUAGCGGUAAAAUGCGUAAAGAUAUGGAGGAACACCAGUAGCGAAGGCGGCUUGCUGGGUCUUAACUGACGCUGAGGCACGAAAGCGUGGGGAGCAAACAGGAUUAGAUACCCUGGUAGUCCACGCCGUAAACGAUGAGUACUAAGUGUUGGGUUAAACCAGUGCUGAAGUUAACGCAUUAAGUACUCCGCCUGAGUAGUACGUACGCAAGUAUGAAACUUAAAGGAAUUGACGGGACUCCGCACAAGCGGUGGAUCAUGUUGUUUAAUUCGAAGAUACACGAAAAACCUUACCAGGUCUUGACAUACUCUGCAAAGCUAUAGAAAUAUAGUGGAGGUUAUCAGGGAUACAGGUGGUGCAUGGUUGUCGUCAGCUCGUGUCGUGAGAUGUUGGGUUAAGUCCCGCAACGAGCGCAACCCUUAUCGCUAGUUACCAUCAUUUAGUUGGGCACUUUAGUGAGACUGCCAAUGAUAAAUUGGAGGAAGGUGGGGAUUACGUCAAAUCAUCAUGCCCCUUAUGACCUGGGCUACAAACGUGAUACAAUGGCUGUUACAAAGAGUAGCUGAAGCGGAGUUUUUAGCAAAUCUCAAAAAAACAGUCUCAGUUCGGAUUGAAGUCUGCAACUCGACUUCAUGAAGUCGGAAUCGCUAGUAAUCGCGAAU